CGGCGAGUGAAGCGGGAACAGCUCAAAUUUGAAAGCUGGCCUUCUGGUCCGCAUUGUAAUUUGCAGAGGAUGCUUUUGGCGCGGUGCCUUCUGAGUCCAUUGGAACAUGGCGCCUUAGAGGGUGAGAGCCCCGUACAGUUGACCACCAAGCCUUUGUAAAGCUCCUUCGACGAGUCGAGUAGUUUGGGAAUGCUGCUCUAAAUGGGAGGUAAAUUUCUUCUAAAGCUAAAUACUGGCCAGAGACCGAUAGCGCACAAGUAGAGUGAUCGAAAGAUGAAAAGCACUUUGAAAAGAGGGUUAAAAAGCACGUGAAAUUGUUGAAAGGGAAGCGCUUAUGACUAGACUUUUUCCUGGCGGAUCAUCCGGUGUUCUCACCGGUGCACUUCGCCAGGUUUAGGCCAACAUCGAUUUCUGCCGGGGGAUAAAGGCUUCGGGAACGUGACUCCUCCCGGGGAGUGUUAUAGCCCGUUGCGUAAUGCCCUGGCGGGGAUCGAGGCUCGCGCUCUGCAAGGAUGUUGGCAUAAUAGUCAUCAGUGACCCGUCUUGAAACACGGACCAAGGAGUCGAACAUUUGUG
rnacentral:rRNA from 1 species